AACAAACGCUGGCGGCGUGCCUAAUACAUGCAAGUCGAACGGGGUAGCAAUACCUAGUGGCGCACGGGUGAGUAACGCGUGGAUAAUCUGCCUUAGAGUGGGGGAUAACUAGUCGAAAGAUUAGCUAAUACCGCAUAAGACCACAGGAGCUGCGGCUCUAGGGGUCAAAGGUUUUUCGCUCUAAGAUGAGUCCGCGUAAGAUUAGCUAGUUGGUGAGGUAACGGCUGACCAAGGCGACGAUCUUUAACUGGUCUGAGAGGAUGAUCAGUCACACUGGAACUGAGACACGGUCCAGAGUCCUACGGGAGGCAGCAGUAGGGAACAUUGCACAAUGGAGGAAACUCUGAUGCAGCGACGCCGCGUGAGUGAUGAAGGCCUUCGGGUCGUAAAGCUCUGUCGCAGGGGAAUAACACAAUGAAUGUACCCUGUAAGAAAGGAUCGGCUAACUUCGUGCCAGCCGCCGCAGUAAGAC
rnacentral:rRNA from 1 species